AAGGAAGAUGGCGAAGACAGUGAGGGAAGAGAGCAGACGUCUGACUCCGGGGUGCUUAUCUGUGUGGAAGAGACCGGUUCUUCCUGACUGGCUUCAUGUCCCUCAAGAUCCCAAAGAAGGCUAUGGCUAUUUCAAAGCCAGAGAAUAGGGGCAGAGACUCAGCAGCCUGCUCCUGGGUGCAAAGAGACAAGGCCAGGUGCAGCCUGUGCUCACAGUCUUGGAAGCUUGGUGGUGGUGGAGGUGUUCUCCUGGCUGUUCAAGUAUUUACCCGUCUGUGUGUGACUCAUAUCCAGGAACCCAGGCAGCUUCCCUCAAUAGAUUGCUGGCUUCAGAAGAUGAGCCUCCCCU
ensembl:lincRNA 5930412G12Rik RIKEN cDNA 5930412G12 gene